UGGGGAAUAUUGGACAAUGGGGGCAACCCUGAUCCAGCAAUGCCGCGUGUGUGAAGAAGGUUUUCGGAUUGUAAAGCACUUUCGACGGGGACGAUGAUGACGGUACCCGUAGAAGAAGCCCCGGCUAACUUCGUGCCAGCAGCCGCGGUAAUACGAAGGGGGCUAGCGUUGCUCGGAAUGACUGGGCGUAAAGGGCGUGUAGGGCGGUUUGUACAGUCAGAU
rnacentral:rRNA from 1 species